CGCAGACGGUUUAUUAAGUCUGAUGUGAAAGCCCGGAGCUCAACUCCGGAAUGGCAUUGGAAACUGGUUAACUUGAGUGCAGUAGAGGUAAGUGGAACUCCAUGUGUAGCGGUGGAAUGCGUAGAUAUAUGGAAGAACACCAGUGGCGAAGGCGGCUUACUGGACUGCAACUGACGUUGAGGCUCGAAAGUGUGGGUAGCAAACA
rnacentral:rRNA from 1 species